GACGAACGCUGGCGGCGUGCUUAACACAUACAAGUCGUACGGUAAGGCCCUUUCGGGGGUACACGAGUGGCGAACGGGUGAGUAACACGUGAGUAACCUGCCCACAACUUUGGGAUAACGCUAGGAAACUGGUGCUAAUACUGGAUAUGUGCUCCUGCUGCAUGGUGGGGGUUGGAAAGCUCCGGCGGUUGUGGAUGGACUCGCGGCCUAUCAGCUUGUUGGUGGGGUAGUGGCCUACCAAGGCGGCGACGGGUAGCCGGCCUGAGAGGGUGACCGGCCACAUUGGGACUGAGAUACGGCCCAGACUCCUACGGGAGGCAGCAGUGGGGAAUAUUGCACAAUGGGCGCAAGCCUGAUGCAGCAACGCCGCGUGCGGGAUGACGGCCUUCGGGUUGUAAACCGCUUUCAGCAGGGACGAAGCUUUUUGUGACGGUACCUGCAGAAGAAGCACCGGCUAACUACGUG
rnacentral:rRNA from 1 species